rnacentral:tRNA from 13 species
UGGUUCCGCCCGGGAUCGAACCGGAGACCUUUCGCGUGUAAAGCGAAUGUAAUAACCACUACACUACGGAACC